rnacentral:lncRNA from 1 species
AUGGCCUCGGCCGCCCGCGCUCGCGCCCCCCGCCCCCGCCGCAGCCGCCGGCCCUCCGCCGCCCCCCCGCUGCCGUCGCGCUGUCUCUCCGCGCCGCUCCCCGCCCCGCGCUCCGCUCCCCGCCCCGCGCUCCGCUCCCCGCUCCCCGCUCCCCGCUCCCCGCCCCGGCCCCGGGAAGCCCUCGGCCGGCCGGCCGGCCCGGGACCCGCCGCCGCCCGCCGGGCUGCCCCCGGGGUCUCCGUGCGUCUGUCCGUCCGCCCCUCGGUCCCCGAGCCCGCCUCCCGUGUCUCCCGGCGGGGGCUCGGUCUGCUGCCCGCCGCCCUCCCAGAGCCUCCCCUGCCUCCCUCCGCCUCUGCCCUGUCUCGGUCUCCCCUGCGCGUCUCUCUCUGUCCUCCUCCCGGGCGCCGUCUGUCCUUCUGCGUGUCUCUCCCUCCCUCCCACUCUCGGUGCGGCCCCCGCUGUCUCGGACCCAGGCCCGCGCCUCCGCCGCGUCCCCGGCUCGCCCGGGAGCCCGAGCUCCCGCCGCCCGCGGCGCGCCGAGAACUCCCAACUCGCGGCACGCCGCCCCGCUUUGCGAGACUUUCGCCCCUCCUCACACGUGACCCGCGCCCCAGUGCGGAGGCCGCGCGCCCCCCCCCCCGGCCCCCGAGCCCCGGGCCCCGGGCGGCCCGCGGGGCCCGGCCCGGCUCCUUCCCCGCGGCGCAGCGGGGCUUCAAACCCCCUGGGCCCGCCGGGCGCGCGGGGCAGGGCUGGGGGCCGAGGGGCCGUGGGGCCCCGCUCCUGCCGCGGAUCCUGCCCGGGUUUUCCUCCUCCCUCCGGGAGCGCUCCUCCCAGAACCCAUUCCGAGAAUCCGCUCCGGGUUUUGCAACCCCCGGGGGCAGGCAGGCAGCCAGGACUGUGUUCCUUCACAUGAAUCUUUGAUGCGCAUGAACUUAGGCAAUCUGAAUCCUCGGUCAGUGGCAGGUAAGUGCCUGGUCACUGUCACAACUUUCCGUGGAAAUUGGGAGGGUGCAGGAGAAGCAAAUGACCCGUGGUCUCUUCACCUAGCCAGAGGUCUGCCUGCUGGCUGCCCUGGAAAUGUGGGGUGCAGGGCAAGGAGGGAGGGGCAAAGGGGGCGGGGAAUGGAGACUGAGGGGUCUGUAGACCUAGAGCCUCUGCUCCUGUGGGGUCAGUCCUGAUGCUGGGUCACUGGGCACAAGUUCAAGGGAAAGGUAGGAGCUCAGGGACAGAGACUUCUGGAAGAUGGAAGGGGGAAGCCUGGUGGCUGUGACAUCAUAAGCCUGAGAGGAAACAUUUGGUAAUGGUCCCCUCCUCCUGGGGCUGUAGCCUGGGAUCCUCCUGCAAGGAGGGUCUGGUGGAGGCUGGGAGUGACUGGGAGGAGGUGGGAAGAGGCAGAAAAGGCAGCUCCAGCCAGAGAGAGGUUCAGGGACCCCAGGAAAAAGAGUCCCUUCACCUCCCCCCCCACCCCGCUCUGCCCCAAGCCUGAUGUGACUCUGGACAGCUCAC